rnacentral:ncRNA from 1 species
GCUCUGUUGUCGAUGGGCAACAGGCCGACCAUUUAAGUGGUCAGCCGAUCACACCUGCUUCGGCAAACACAUUGCAGGGGUCGGCCAUAAGGGGGAGUAGCAACAUGAUUGUGAAAGCCCUAGGCCGC